UACAGAGGGUGCGAGCGUUGUCCGGAAUCACUGGGCGUAAAGGGCGCGUAGGCGGCCUGGUAAGCGUGCGGUGAAAGCCCGGGGCUCAACCCCGGGUCGGCCGUGCGAACUGCGAGGCUGGAGCACUGUAGAGGCAGGUGGAAUUCCGGGUGUAGCGGUGGAAUGCGUAGAGAUCCGGAGGAACACCGGUGGCGAAGGCGGCUUCCUGGACCGACACUGACGCUGGAGGCGCGAAAGCUAGGGAGCAAACGGG
rnacentral:rRNA from 1 species